CGCGGGGUGGAGCAGCUCGGUAGCUCGCUGGGCUCAUAACCCAGAGGCCGCAGGUUCAAAUCCUGCCCCCGCUACGA
rnacentral:tRNA from 1 species